GCCUGGGUGGCUCAGUCGGUUGAGCAUCCGACUUCAACUCAGGUCACGAUCUCUUGGUUCGUGAGUUCGAGCCCUGCGCCGGGCU
rnacentral:tRNA from 1 species